AAAUUGAAGAGUUUGAUCAUGGCUCAGAUUGAACGCUGGCGGCAGGCCUAACACAUGCAAGUCGAGCGGUAGCACAGGAGAGCUUGCUCUCCGGGUGACGAGCGGCGGACGGGUGAGUAAUGUCUGGGAAACUGCCUGAUGGAGGGGGAUAACUACUGGAAACGGUAGCUAAUACCGCAUAACGUCGCAAGACCAAAGAGGGGGACCUUCGGGCCUCUUGCCAUCAGAUGUGCCCAGAUGGGAUUAGCUAGUAGGUGGGGUAACGGCUCACCUAGGCGACGAUCCCUAGCUGGUCUGAGAGGAUGACCAGCCACACUGGAACUGAGACACGGUCCAGACUCCUACGGGAGGCAGCAGUGGGGAAUAUUGCACAAUGGGCGCAAGCCUGAUGCAGCCAUGCCGCGUGUAUGAAGAAGGCCUUCGGGUUGUAAAGUACUUUCAGCGGGGAGGAAGGCGAUAAGGUUAAUAACCUUGUCGAUUGACGUUACCCGCAGAAGAAGCACCGGCUAACUCCGUGCCAGCAGCCGCGGUAAUACGGAGGGUGCAAGCGUUAAUCGGAAUUACUGGGCGUAAAGCGCACGCAGGCGGUCUGUCAAGUCGGAUGUGAAAUCCCCGGGCUCAACCUGGGAACUGCAUUCGAAACUGGCAGGCUAGAGUCUUGUAGAGGGGGGUAGAAUUCCAGGUGUAGCGGUGAAAUGCGUAGAGAUCUGGAGGAAUACCGGUGGCGAAGGCGGCCCCCUGGACAAAGACUGACGCUCAGGUGCGAAAGCGUGGGGAGCAAACAGGAUUAGAUACCCUGGUAGUCCACGCCGUAAACGAUGUCGACUUGGAGGUUGUUCCCUUGAGGAGUGGCUUCCGGAGCUAACGCGUUAAGUCGACCGCCUGGGGAGUACGGCCGCAAGGUUAAAACUCAAAUGAAUUGACGGGGGCCCGCACAAGCGGUGGAGCAUGUGGUUUAAUUCGAUGCAACGCGAAGAACCUUACCUACUCUUGACAUCCAGAGAACUUAGCAGAGAUGCUUUGGUGCCUUCGGGAACUCUGAGACAGGUGCUGCAUGGCUGUCGUCAGCUCGUGUUGUGAAAUGUUGGGUUAAGUCCCGCAACGAGCGCAACCCUUAUCCUUUGUUGCCAGCGGUCCGGCCGGGAACUCAAAGGAGACUGCCAGUGAUAAACUGGAGGAAGGUGGGGAUGACGUCAAGUCAUCAUGGCCCUUACGAGUAGGGCUACACACGUGCUACAAUGGCGCAUACAAAGAGAAGCGACCUCGCGAGAGCAAGCGGACCUCAUAAAGUGCGUCGUAGUCCGGAUUGGAGUCUGCAACUCGACUCCAUGAAGUCGGAAUCGCUAGUAAUCGUAGAUCAGAAUGCUACGGUGAAUACGUUCCCGGGCCUUGUACACACCGCCCGUCACACCAUGGGAGUGGGUUGCAAAAGAAGUAGGUAGCUUAACCUUCGGGAGGGCGCUUACCACUUUGUGAUUCAUGACUGGGGUGAAGUCGUAACAAGGUAACCGUAGGGGAACCUGCGGUUGGAUCACCUCCUUA
rnacentral:rRNA from 1 species